GAGGUGUGCUCUUCCGAUCAUUUGAUUGACUGCAGAGGUUCGACAGGCAUCUUUAAUCACAGUCAUGAUCACUAUCAACUGAAACUGUUUAGGUUUACGAAGGCACACCAGCUGCCAAAUUUGCCCUUAGAUAAGUAGUGCUUUGUUGAAUAAUCAUCGAAUCAUGAUGGAGGCAGAGAAAAACUUGUUUUCCUCUCCUGCUUCCAAACAGGAACCAUAGUUGUCAUUUAAACCCCCGACACGGGUAGGGUGACACAGGACUUGGUUCUAAUAAAGGAGAUAAAUCAGAGCAGAGACACGAUACUGGGCGUUUACACAUUUUAUUCGAUGUAUGCCAUUGAACACAUCUCACGCACAGGCAUACAUGCUGUUGCAAAGGGAACAGCACUGCAGGGUGGAGUCCAUAUAGCAGGAAUCUUAUAUGAUGUAACCACCGGGGCUAUUUGCUCCAUACUCUGGGCAAAAGAAAGAAGCCCUCCAUUUAACAGAUUCUACUGAACAUGUUGAAAACCUGGUUGAAUUUUGCAUCUUUAACUUCUUAACACCUACCAGGUCACUGGCAACCCAUCUAGAGUUAUGGGUAGGGACUGGUUCUGGUGAAUGGUUCUUCCCUUUUUAUAGAAUUAUUAAAAUUAAAAUCCAAAUGAAAACGGUAAAUGUAAAAGCAACUUGCCUUUUUAGCAUAAAACAAAACCCAUCCCUAACCGUAGGCAGGUCAACUAUGACCCCAUUGAUGUCAAGAGCUUAAAGCAGAUGGAUGUACUAAAAUAUAUUUCUACCUCAUGUUUUGUGUUUUAGUGAUCACUUUUAUUUAAAUACUUCCACAAAUAUUUAAGGCCAUUUCAAGGUUUCCAGUUCUAUGUCUGCAGGGAUCUUCGUUGAAUUGCCCAAUAAGCUACACAAACAUUCAUGUACAACCAACAAUUUAAGACUGGAAUGUCUUUCACCUUUGCCCAGUAGUAUUUAGAUUCCAAUUUUGGGGGCCAUUGGAAUUCUCGAGACAUCCAUCCCCUUCUUGCUAUCUUAGACUUUAACUGGGAUCCCUAUUGAGUUACGUCCAAAUUAUGUUCAGUUCAGGUAAAACCCUUUUCCCAAAUGGAUAAGCAGAAAUUGCUAAUUGUUAUUAUUAUAAUUAUUCUGUCACCAAGUCGUACCUUUUUUCUCCAAGUUCGACUUAUCAUUGACUCUGUUUUAGAGCGGGUCCCUUGGGGAGACCUCCAGAUAUUGGGUCCUUAAAGUCGGUGAUCCCACGUCAGUGCCUCAGGCUAUUUGUUGGGUUCCUAGCACAGUUUCCGAGUAGCUGGGUACACUUUCCUGCUGCGGGAGGCAACUGCCAUUGGGGAAUACCACUUGAAUACCAGGACCCAAGAAAAAUGCUACCUUUUUGUGAAGGAAUUAAUGUUCUUCACUAGACUUGUCAGACAUUUUAACGUUCUGGCUGAUUGGUUUAUGUUUAUGUUAAUAUAAGAGUUCUUGUUAUUGCUGAGAUAAUUGCAAAGCUCUCAUGUCGAAUGGUCAAAAUGAAGAGAAAAUGAAAACAGUGUUAUACCUGACUCAGAUUAAAAUCAAAGUGUUUGCUAGUGUUGUCGUUAAUCCCGUUAUUUUGCACACAAUUUUACAGCAUUUUGCCAUGCAGCCACAGCAGAAUGCUUUUGUGUCAUGUGGCACUAAAACACUUACGGUAUGUUAGAUAUGAAUUAUCUAACUUUAGACAGAAAUGCCAUUUUUAAUUUGGAAUAUUAUUGCAACAUAUGACUAUUGGGAAUUAGGGCAGUGGCUUUAGCAUUAAAGCCGCAGAAUUUCAUGGUGCAGUAAGACUGUUUGGGAGCCCUUUGCUCUGUGGACUUCAAGAAUGGAAAUUUUAGGCUUUCAAAACUCACUGUUGGAGUUUCAAGAAAUUCACAAUCAUCAAAAGACAUUUCUAACUGAAAAAAGGAAGGGGGGGGGCAGCAUUCCUAUUGCAACAUUUUGCAUUGUGACACAUUUCUGUUGGAACUGUGCUAUUAUUGGCUAGCUUAUGGGGACAUGACAUUGUUAUCUUUGGCAGUCAGUUGGCUCUGAGGUAACUCAUUGAUUAUUUAAUGGGCCUUAACAAGACAUUUUUACAACAACUUUAACUUCAGUUCACUGGCUGUAUGUAGGGUUUGACAAAUAUUAGAAACACCUCAAAGCUACAAAGUGCAGCUUUAAAAAUAAACCUAACCACACAGCUGAAGCUGAACGUCUCUGUUCUUUUUAUGUUGUCCACCCACUGCACUAUUCAGUGAAGAAUACUGACUCACUUGACUGCAACAAGUUUUAAAGCACUGAGCUGCUGAGCACCAAGCUGCCUUAGUUUUGCUUGACCUGGAUGAAUUUGGCUCUUGAAGACCAAAAAAUUGGACGGAGAUGGAAAUGUCAUGGGGGUGUGAGGGUGGGGGAGCUGAUGGUAAAGAGGAGGAGAGAUAAAGGAAACGAGACACUGUUACUGCAGCUGCAGAAACUGCGUGUUUUUAUUGGAGUGGACUGUUGCCUAAUGUUAUUCUCACAGUCAGAUGACUGAAGAAAGAGCCCCAGAGCCAUCCUGGUCAUUAUAUUACACCUCAUACUGUGUGCGUCUGUGUGUAGAACAGAUAUGCAUAUCAAAUAGAAAUGUUACCUUUUCCCUUUAGAAUUUUUUUUCAUUUUAUGAUAUAUUGUGUAUACAUAUAUUAAAUAAAAUGUGUUUUGUCAUCUAAAAGUCAACCAUACAGUAUUUUUCUUGUUUUAAACACAUAUUUAUCGCCAGCAUAUAAUCUCUCUGAAAAAAUGAGACCUUUCCACAUUUACUUAGGCCUCUAACAGCCUGUGGAUAGAUUAAUGUGUGAAGGCGUGGGAUGAAUCAAGAGUAGUGAACUUUUUUCUUAAUUUCGAACACCUUGCCUCACUAACACUCUUGGCUCUGCUGUAGCUACAAUGCUGUUAGCUUAAAAAUAAGUAAGUCUAUUUUUUCCGGCAAUAGUAAACUAAUAAAGCUGUUUUCUGAAUAGAAAAUCUUUAUAAAAGGAACUUUCACCUCGAGUAGUUAGCUGCUAUAUCGGACGUUUAUCAACUUGUCCAUGUUAGCAGGUAGACCACCAGUAAAUUGCUUGGCUAUAAUUAUGAGCAUUUAGCUAAUGUUAGCUCGGCUGUUAACAAGGAUAAAUUGCUCCUAAUGUAGUAAAAUAUAAUAUAGUACAUGGACAUCGUUAGGUCCCAAAAGUGAGGGCGAAACCUGUAGUUAAAAAGGGCCUAAGAAGUCUAUGAGUAGAGGUCAUGAAGGUUUCUAACUUGACCUCUGUAAACACUUUGCUAAUAUGUCUGCAGACGCAGUUUGGUAAAUCUCGUUUAUUCUGUGUUUAUAAAAGGAAGCUUAUAUGUGGUAUGCUCAAUAGCUAAUGAUUUAUCUUAUCUUACAAAAUUUGUACAUUUAGCUAAUGAGGAAACAGUAACAUUUUGUUUUUUGAAACCAAGUGAUCUGUGAGAGCACUAAUCACAAGACUUCAAAAUAGGACCUGUGGAUGAUGAUUAUGAGCCAAAUACUACUUUUAAGUAGAGAAAGUCAGUUCACUGAAUGAUUGUAAUUAUAACCAAUAGUUGAUAAAGCCCAGAUAUCUAGUUUUAAUCAAUAAAUGUGAGGAUUGGGAUUGUAAAGGUUCGCUUUUUGCCCCAGAACACGUGUACUUCACUUAAAUGUUGCUGUCUUUUUUUUUGUCUUACUUUAUAAAGUGCCUUGAGGCGACUGUUGUUGUGAAUUGGCACUAUAUUUUAAAAAUAAAAAAAUUGAAUUGAAUUGAAUAUUUAUGUCCUCCCAAUGUGAUUAAUACAGCUACUCAUGAAAUAAUCAAGAGGUGAAAAUUCUGCCCUUUCAACCUUCACUAUAUUUAUAUAUAUAUAUAUUUUUAUCUUCACUUGCUACUUUUUUGUUUUCAUCUUUUUCUUUUCAAACCAUUGCCACUGUUUUAAACAAAGCAUCUUUAGGUCUUUUGUGUGCUUCUGUUUAACAUAAUCCCGGUGUCUGUUGCCGUGGUUACACUUUCUUAAUGUGCCAUUGAUGUGACUGUAUGUAUUAAAAGCACCGCUGACUCCUGGCAAAACUUUAAAUGUGCCUCUCUACCUCUCCCUUCCUCCCUCUCUCUCCCUCCUCCCGUCUCCCUCUCUCAGCUCUGUGACAGUCAUGUUUUCUUUGUGUGUCAAACAGAGAGCACUUGUCUGUGCCACUUUGUUACUGAGAGGAUAUAACUGAUAGUGGGUUAUUUUUGGAUCGCAAGUGAUACGAGCUGAUAUCUUUUGCCAUUGAGGAAGCCUUUGAAAAGCAAUGUUGGCAUCGUGAAUUAGAAUUAGAAUCAAAUCAGGGCGUUAUUUAAAUGUUAAUCAAAUCAGCACUGAAUAUGUAAUCAAAAGUAGAUUUAUUGUUGUAAUUCUCCUGCUGCUAUUAGUCUUGUCUGUGUCAUAUCUUGUGGCCAUGCACACUGAAUGCGAAGGCAAUGAGCUCCACCACAGUAACAUUAUGACAGCAUUUCAUCUCCUCCCCUCGACACUGCGCUUUGGAAGAUGACGGUAAUUUGGAUGAGAUGUUUCAAGGCCCUGGGUUCUUCUCCCCCCUCGCUCGCUGACAGUCCCCAGUGCGCUGCAACAUUAAAGCAAGACUGGAGCAUGAACGUAUGGCCGGCUAUUAAAUGGCAAUCACACACAGAAGAGCUCUUUUAUAGACGAACACAUUUCUGCUUAAUAGCUCUCGGAGCAGAGUCGUCCAAAUAUGACAUUUCAAAUGAAAGCCCUCUGAACGCCAGCUUCUAUUAAAAUCUUUGCUGAAAUUUUUCAAUUUGUCAGUUUUUAUGUGAUGUGGGCCAGAAUGAAAUCUGGAUUGCAACCAAAAAUUCCCAGUUUAGUUAUGCGAUCAUGGUUUCAGAGGUGUCUGACUCACUCUAAUAGUGUCAUGCACAGUUAACUUGCUGCUGCUUCACGUUGAGGCCAUUCGCGACACCAGCUUAGCCCAGAAGCAGUGAUCAAAUCUGGGGAACCUUCUGAGCCUCUGAAUUCUGAGAUUACUGGAACCUCUCGCCCCCUAAUGGCUGCUUGAGGGUGAAGUUCAUGUCAUCAGUGGGCCCUGCACUCGCUCUUGGGAGUCCUGUUCCACCCUGCCCCAUUAAUUUCAAGUGCUACUCAUAUCCUUGGCCCCCUUACUUUCCAUUUCUCAGCCCCCUCCCUCCUUCCAUCAUCACCUUGGUGCGCCCAGCCCAAUCUCGCUGCUCUCCUGGCUCAUUUUGAGCUGUAAUUGGACAGGAGUCCCAGGGGAUGUUCGUCAGCACGCCCCAGUGCCCUGUGUCCCAUCUCCAGAGUAGAAACGCACCCGGCCAUGGUCGAUAAGCCGUGUUCCCCCCACCAUCAGUCCAACGUUCCCUACUCUGCUAACUUUCAAUAGGCAAAAUGACUGGGCAUCACUUCAAAACAGAGUCCAAAAUAGACCCACAAAAAAUAGCAACAAAACCUAAUCUGCCCAUUUUUUCUCACCGAAGGAAUAAUCAUACCGCACACACCGCAAAGGCAUUUCUGUCGUGUUUAAUCCUGUCUGUCUGUAACUGAAACCUUAAAGAUUAUCCCUUAAAAACAAGUUGGUAAAUGUGUAGUGGAAAUGUUUCACUGCAAGUGGUUAAAGAUGACCUAGUAUGCCUUUGAAUGCCAUACAUCUCAGACUAAUCCUGUACCAAGUCCCCUCUUGUCCCCUUUAAGCAUGUUGUCCUUUCUUUGGCUGCCCCUGCCAAACAGAAGGUUUGUAUAGUAGGCGGGCGGGGCUUAGAGGUUUAGAUGUUUAUGGACGGAUCAUUUUUCCUUUUAGUUUUCUUUAAGCAAAGACCACUCUUGAAUUUUAGCUGAGAAAAUUAUGACAAAAUGUUUUGGCAAAUAUUUUUAGUAUCUGAUAAUGUGUAAGAUGAGAUCCUAAAACACCUUAUAACGUUCGUUCCUUCAUCAGGCGUGAAAAUCAUUCUGCGGCCUUUCGCACCAUACUCGAGCGAACACAGUUGUAUAUCUUUUGGUGUUGUGUUUGGCUCUGCCCCUGUGCCAGCUUUCCCUCGAGCAGCAUUUGUGCUGGUAAUCUGUCAUAUGAGCCCGUCUCAUCAGAGGCACAGGAACAUUUGGAGCUGCAAACAGAGAGCCUGGAUAACACCCUAAAAGCUUCCUCCUUCCCUCUUAUUGCCCACAGCUCAAUCCCAACUAUCUCAAAUCUCUCUCCUUAUCGCCUCUCCUUUAUUGCCAAAGCUUGACGGGCACUUGACAGUUUAGAAAAAUACCCCAAAUUGGGCCUGACCUGAGUGCUGGUUGGCCACCAGUGUAUACCUGCAGCUCCCCCCAGAGGCUGGCUCGCUCAGGUUGAAAAAAAAUAAUUCAGUGACUGUAAUUUCUGAAUUUCUUCUUGAUGAUAAAGUUAUUUUCUUUGUCUGUGGCCAUCUGUUCAUGCUGCAGAGCUCUCAGACAGUCUCAAAACAUCCAGUUUUAUGUAAUCAUUCUCACUGCCUGACCUGUCCUCUCACCAGCUCUCCAACAAUUACCGCUGAAUGCCUGGUGUGUGUGUGUGUGUGUGUGUGUGUGUGUGUGUGUGUGUGUGUGUGUGUGUGUGUGUGUAUUUGCCUGUUGCCAAGUAAAAAAGAGAAGAAAGCAAGCAGUGGGAGUGUGUGUUGGGGCUGUAUUGGCAUUCGCCAACCAGCUGAUGAAAGCGGCGGCUCCGUUAAUAAUUGAAAGAGUACUUAACGACAGGAGCGCUGCCCUCGCAAGACAGCUUUUAAUAACCAGGAAGGUUUCAUAUUUCUGGUUCUCCUCUUUUUCAUCUCUGCUUCGUCCCCACCACUGCCGCUACCCCUCACCUCCUGCCUGCUCUUCUUCUUCUUCUUUAGAAGCUUUUUCAGCUCUAUUGAGGAGCAAAGGAUUGCUGCUGAAGAAGCAUCUGUCGGCCUUUUAAAAACAUAGCAGAAGAAAAGGUGUAUGUGUCUACAUGUGUGCAUUUACUCAAUUAAAGUGGGGAACAUUGUGCUGGAAUGGAUAGUGUGCCGUGCCUAUAGACAGGGAAGUCUAUUUAUUAUGUCUCCCACAUUAUCCCUCUGUCCCUGCUGUCUAGUUGAGAGAUAUGUAUUUGUUUAUGGAAGCGCUCCGUCUCUACUCUUAAUGUGCUCACCGCUCACCCUCAUUAAUUCGCUUGAUGGUCUUUGAUUUGCCGGGCAUCACUAAGUCGCAUUAAGAAAUGUAUUUCCCAGCUCUUACUUAACGACGCUUCCAGAACCAACGCAAUUAAAUGCACAUUUAAAUGCUUGAGGUUUCCCUCUAAAUUCAUGAGCAGAGACAGGCGCUUGAUUAGCACCCCACAGAAAAUUAAGCAGCAAGGGAAAGGUGAUGCUGAGGUUUUUGGUAAAUGGCACUUUCUUUAGUGUGCUUUCCUUUUGAAAGCAUGGCACUCAUCCUGUUAUAGUAAGCUAAUAAAGCAUUUCCAAUCAUGUUUUAAUCAGAAAACAUAGCGCCAACAGGUGGUGCUAAAUAUGACUUCUAGUUACUCUUGCUUUGAAAAGAAAUCACUUAUGCCGUGGCAUUUUUGCAUAUGCUUAUUGAACAUGGCACACAUAAAUAAUACAAACAGAUUUCCCCAUGUACCCCAAGUAAAGUCUAGUCAUACCACAUGCAAUAGUAACAAUCACGUGUAUUUAUUUGGAGCUUUUCAGAACAAGCAUCAAAAUGAUUCCAUAUACAAUUAAAAGAUGAGCAACAAUUCUGGCAGGUUGUCAUACAAUUAGCCACUUUUAAGACAUGAAGCCAGGUUUAAGGCUCCUUGUUAUUUUAAGGAAUAACAAGGAGUCACCAGCAUAAAGAGUGGAUAGCCUACAAUCCUUAAAAGUGACAAUUAAACUUACAAUUCUAAUUUAGAUUCAGUUUUAAAAACAGUAAAUCCUUUCUCUUCUAUUUGGUUUGUUGUUUUUGUUGAGCAAGGUAAGAAAAAAAUUUUUUUAAUAAUAUAAAAUAAUAGAAAUUAUCGUGUAAAACACUGAAAUUACGUAUAUUACAGAAAUUACAUAUAUAAUAUGUGUACUGAUUUUAAAAGGAACAGCAGCAUUACGUUACAUGUACGUGGAUGAUGUUGUUGUUUGUAAAUACAAUUUACUAAACAGUUUUUACAGCGUUGCUACUUUGGUCUAACUGGAAUGUGUUGUCAUGCAUAUGCAUAAUGAUGCUCAUAGUGCCUGUAAUUGAUUACUUUGUCUUAUAAAAUGAAAAUGUAGCUCCCAAAGAACAAAAAUACGAGUUAGUGAAUUAGUGAACCUAGCAAGUGCUGCUGGCUAGUAAAAUUAAAAAACAUGCUUGAAAAAUAUCUGAAAACUGAGGUUUUCUUCAACAAAAACACAGAUAAGAGGAGACGAGGACGUCCCGAGAUGAGUUCUGACCACUGAUAAUACUAUUUUUCUCGAUUUAAUAGGGAAAUGUGAUCCCUUCCACUUAUCAGCAAUGGUCAUGGUGUCAGAGAAGAAAUAUAAAUGUGUAUCAUCAGCAUAGAAAUUGUAACUAGCACGGUGGGGUUUUUUAAUACCAAGUGGUGGCAUAAAGAUAGAGACGUCUAGUACUCUGUGGCCAUCCUUUAGUGAUCCCUUCUAAUGUCCACACAGAUUGAGCUUUCCAAAAGAUUAAAUAGAGCCUAUCUAAAGCGAAAUUUGAAAUACCUGCCACUCUCUAAUAUUUUAAAAUGAGUGUAUUAUCAUCAAAAAUGCUCAGAAUCACAGACAGUUACAACAUUAAUAAUAAAUUACGUGUAGGACACAGUUGCUGUGAUCUUAACUCCAACCCACAUUUCUUAGACCACCAGCAUUCAAAAAGGAAAUGAAGCUAUUUUUACAGGAAGUAACUCCAUUAGAAACUGCUGUCACGGUAUCCGGAGUAAUUGGGGCACUGUUUAUUUCCAAUGUUUUAUUUGUUUGUAACAAUUUUGUAAAAAUCAGAACCACUAAAAUUGCUAAUAGAUUCUAGCAAAAGAAGUCUCUUUGUCUUUGUCAAUUAGGAUGACUUAUUAACUGUUGUUAACUGUACUUAGUGACUCAUCACUAGUCAGCUCUAGUUUUGUCUGCUGACACUGGCACACAACUAGGGAAUAAUGUUCUCUAACAGAGAACUAUUAGAGAGUAAUUAUUUAGCAGCAUGUGAAGGAUCAGCUACAUAGUCAAUUUAUAUAAUCAGCUUGUUGGAUUGAAGAGAAAUUAAGCAGCAAAAAAGACCUGAGUGACUCUGAAAAGGGCUAAAUGGUUAAGGCCAGAGUUGCUCCACCAAAUAACAAGGCAAACCAUGAGUUGAUGAGAGGGCGUUGGUGAAAAUAAUGGAACAAGUCUGAUUAGGAUUUUUAGAAAACCUGAUCAGUGUAGUGCUCUUUACCACAGUACAUUCUGUGGAGUUCACGCACUCACUUCAAACUCUGUUAUCCCCCUUUUUGGCAGAAAUCUGAGAAAUACAGAUGCAUUGAAGAAAAUUAAGAACUGGAUGGCAUUAGCUAGAAAACAUGUUUGAAACUAAGCUUGACUUUUCUUUAGCUCAGGAAGUUGCUCAUCAGCGAAUGGCCUUUUAAAGUGAUGUGUUGCCAUUAUACUUGGUGACAGUUGUAAAAGACGUGUAAUGAUCACUCCCCUGUAAGUAUACAUGAAUGAAUAACUCAGUGUACGUAUAGACAUUGUUAACACACUUUAUCAAUUCAUUCCUCAAUUUGUGCUCGCUCAUCUAAUUUGCAUGUACCCAUACCUCUUGAGCUCUGCAGCUGAAUGGGCCUAAUUGAAUAGUUGAUCACAUAUUAAUCUAAUUAGUCUGGUUCAGUCGUGGUCAUUGUGUGCUGAAUUCAUUUCUUCUGUCUUGUUAUUGUGUUCUCUCAGGCCAGAGCCUGUCAUUGGCCCCAGAUGGUUUACUAUAGCUAGCCGCCGCUGAUUUAACUGAGAGCUUCUCCCUUUGUCUCCGGAUCAGACCUCCAUACUGCACUCUGAUCACAGUGAUGACAGAGAGGCAGACAGAGAGAGAGUGGAAACAAGGGAUCAAGAGGGAGUGUAAAAAAUGUUUGGGAGAAAAAAAAAAAGAAAGAGGCAAAGAAGGAUACCACCAUUACUGUUGAGGGUGAUCAUCGCCAUAGCCCAGUUUUCCAUGAAAAGGCAACAAGUGGAGCCUAAUGGGAAAUAUGCAGAUGUAUGCAAAUAUGUUGGAUGGGUCGCCCAGAGGCCCACUGGGAGAUUAAAGCUCUUCGGGAUGGAGAGGGCUGUGGAGAAGACUAGCACUAUGAGCUCAGUGCAGCAGCAUUAAACAGGGAAACAUGACAUGAACCAAUUUUAGGCCUUGUUUUCAAGCUCAUCGCCAUUAAUCUCACAAACAGACUCGUGCUGAUGGCAGCACUCUACCGUGAUCUGUCAGCCUGAAUUGGCAUCCGGUGAUCUGAUCCACGAUGGACAUCUUUAACUUGAUAGUAGCUCUGCAAAGAUAAAAACCUGGCUCUUUCAUUGUUUUUACAGUUACAGUUUUGAAUGUGGUUACUUUUCUCCGUCGUGCCUUGGUCUUCCAGGUAGAUUUGAUGGAUGAGAUCCCAGGGCUGCUAUUUCACACUCUUUCACAGGUUGAUCGGCUCAAAAUGACUGUAGCAGUAGGAGAAUGAGACUUAGAGGAGAGGUACAGGCACUUAGGACUUUACCCUCAAGCUCUCCACCAUUCACGCUCCACUUCCACAUUUGAUCCACGGCAGUCUCUCAACCUGAGUCCGCAGCAGCUGGGAUGGAAGUGUUGCUGAGAGUUACAGAUGUUGAACAGACUGAGCAACAGAAUAAAUGGAUGAAGGCAUUCAGGGUUACAGUAACCCUGAAUGCCUUCCCUGGAAAUAGAGAAGUUAAUUUGUCUUGACAAUGCUAUGAGGUAACAGCAAGAUUUCUUCUUUAGGCUUGGAUGAAUUUGAAGCACUACUGAAUCGUGAAUACAAAACAUGUUCUACAGCCUUACACAAUACCUGGUUCGACAAUGUAAUACAGUUCAACCAACAAAUUCAUUCAUGUACCAAAGUUAAACUCUGGUGUAUUGUUAACCUGGGCAUACGAUGCACUUUUAGUUUGUAUAACCAUAAAACACUCUAUGGCAGUUUUGAGUAAUUUUAAAUAUAGCCUAACUAAUAGAUCCACUCACUGAUAUUGGCCUUUUGCGGAUAUAUCAGUGUCAGCACAUAUGGUGUCUGAAUUUUGCUGAUACGCAUUAGCAUUUAGCAUUUUUGAUAUCAUUCACUUUGCCCAAUAGGAGUCAUAGUUAUAUCUAUAGUAUGUAUAGAAGAGGAGGAUCACAGGUGAGCAUCAUAAGCCUAACACCAAAGCCAGCACUUCUACAAAAAAGGGGGUAAAAAUUAGUGAUGAUUUGUACAAACAUUGGCACUGCGUGUGCUCAUGCUAACUUAUAUCUCAUAGCACAUAUCUGCCUUAUAUAAGACAAAUUCCUAAGGAUACGGCUGCUCCGUUUCUCACCAUCUGUGAGAUUUCCACUAUUUGGCAGCCUUCAGCUUUUUGAUAUAAUGUUAUGACUAAAGCAUUGAAUGUGCCAGGUCUAUACGUGACCUCUCUGUUCUAAAGCAGGCCUGCAAUAGCAGGUGUUAAGUCUCAAAUGUUCACAUCCGCCCAGGCAUAUUUAGCAGCAUCAUAAAUCUACAGUUUACUGUUAAACAUGCCAUCGUUGCACUAGGAGUGCCUAUAAAUCAAUGUUUACAACCCCAGCCUCCCCGAGCUUGUGAAAGGCAUGCUCUGGUAAGAUUUUUCCCUUCUUCUUUUUCCCUUUUUUUGAAAUAUUUAACUGUACAACGUUUUGGUCCUGAGAGCUUAAUCAAGUAUUAUAUUCAAGACAAGAAGAAAGAUCAUGAAGUGCUUGGGUUACCAUGGGUCAAUUGGAGCUCUCAGAGCUUCUUUCUCUUGAACCCUAUUAGAGCGGAGCAGGGACGAUGCCCUGCUUAAUCCCUGCCUCGUGUUGGUUGUUAGCCUGGCAGUUUUAGCUUAAUACAUUCAUACUAAGAAAGCUGCACAGGCCUUAUGCAUUGGGUUUCCUGCUGUUUAAAUCUUUAGCAGA